UACGUAGGGUGCAAGCGUUAAUCGGAAUUACUGGGCGUAAAGCGUGCGCAGGCGGUUCGUUGUGUCGGCGGUGAAAGCCCCGGGCUUAACCUGGGAAUGGCCGUUGAAACUGGCGAACUGGAGUGUGGCAGAGGGGGGUGGAAUUCCGCGUGUAGCAGUGAAAUGCGUAGAGAUGCGGAGGAACACCGAUGGCGAAGGCAGCCCCCUGGGCUAACACUGACGCUGAGACGCGAAGGCGUGGGGAGCGAACGGG
rnacentral:rRNA from 1 species